GAUGAACGCUGGCGGCGUGCCUAAUACAUGCAAGUCGAACGCGACACCUUCGGGUGUUGAGUGGCGAACGGGUGAGUAACACGUAGGUAACAUGACCAUAUGACGAGGAUAACGGUUGGAAACGACUGCUAAGACUGGAUAGGAACAUUGAAGGCAUCUUUGAUGUUUUAAAGGACUCUUGAGUACACGUAUGGGGUGACCUGCGGCGCAUUAGCUAGUUGGUGGGGUAGUAGCCUACCAAGGCGAUGAUGCGUAGCCGGACUGAGAGGUUGACCGGCCACAUUGGGACUGAGACACGGCCCAG
rnacentral:rRNA from 1 species